UACGUAGGGGGCAAGCGUUGUCCGGAAUUAUUGGGCGUAAAGAGCGCGUAGGCGGUCCGAUAAGUCGGCUGUGAAAGUCCAGGGCUCAACCCUGGAAAGCCGGCCGAUACUGUCGGACUAGAGUCCGGAAGAGGCGAGUGGAAUUCCCGGUGUAGCGGUGAAAUGCGCAGAUAUCGGGAAGAACACCCGUGGCGAAGGCGGCACUCUGGGACGGUACUGACGCUGAGACGCGAAAGCGUGGGGAGCGAACAGG
rnacentral:rRNA from 1 species